AGCCUGAACGCUGGCGGCGUGGCUAAGACAUGCAAGUCGUACGGGUGUAGCAAUACACCAGUGGCGGACGGGUGAGUAAUGUAUCGCUAACGUGCCCCCCAGUCCGGGAUAGCCGAGGGAAACUUCGGGUAAUACCGGUUGACAUCACGAUCAGGCAUCUGAUUGUGCUCAAAGGGAAACCGCUGGAGGAGCGGGCGAUAUCGUAUCAGCUAGUUGGCGGGGUAACGGCCCACCAAGGCGACGACGCGUAGCCGGACUGAGAGGUUGGCCGGCCACAUUGGGACUGAGACACUGCCCAGACUCCUACGGGGGCUGCAGUAACGAAUCUUCCGCAAUGCACGCAAGUGUGACGGAGCGACGCCGCGUGUGGGACGAAGCCCCUCGGGGUGUAAACCACUGUCAGGGGAUAGAAAGUUCUGAUCAUCCCCAGAGGAAGGCACGGCUAACUCUGUGCCAGCAGCCGCGGUAA
rnacentral:rRNA from 1 species